rnacentral:misc_RNA from 1 species
UGGUACCAUCUACGUUAUUUACGACAUUACUUGAACAGGAACUACUAUGUAAGUUGUACAUCUGUGUCCUUGAAUUAAGGAUAGCAUUUGCGUUAUUUGCUUAGAAUGAAAAUGUCGGACUCGCAGAAGGGGAAAGAGAAGAGAAGUGGCUGGUAAACAUGGUUUUGCAGGCACCUGUUUGUUAUUUAUUUACUCGUAUGGAAAGGUAAGCUGAUGCUGUUCUGAGUAUUUCUGAUG